GAUGAACGCUGGCGGCGUGCCUAAUACAUGCAAGUCGAGCGAACAGACGAGGAGCUUGCUCCUCUGACGUUAGCGGCGGACGGGUGAGUAACACGUGGAUAACCUACCUAUAAGACUGGGAUAACUUCGGGAAACCGGAGCUAAUACCGGAUAAUAUAUUGAACCGCAUGGUUCAAUAGUGAAAGACGGUUUUGCUGUCACUUAUAGAUGGAUCCGCGCCGCAUUAGCUAGGUGGUAAGGUAACGGCUUACCAAGGCAACGAUGCGUAGCCGACCUAAGAGGGUGAUCGGCCACACUGGAACUGAGACACGGUCCAGACUCCUACGGGAGGCAGCAGUAGGGAAUCUUCCGCAAUGGGCGAAAGCUUGACGGAGCAACGCCGCGUGAGUGAUGAAGAUCUUCGGAUCGUAAAACUCUGUUAUUAGGGAAGAACAAAUGUGUAAGUAACUAUGCACGUAUUGACGGUACCUAAUCAGAAAGCCACGGCUAACUACGUG
rnacentral:rRNA from 1 species